rnacentral:rRNA from 1 species
UACAGAGGUCUCAAGCGUUGUUCGGAUUCAUUGGGCGUAAAGGGCGCGUAGGCGGCGGGGUAAGUCGGGUGUGAAAUCUCAGAGCUCAACUCUGAAAUGGCACUUGAUACUGCUCUGCUAGAGGGCUGGAGAGGAGAUCGGAAUUCACGGUGUAGCAGUGAAAUGCGUAGAUAUCGUGAGGAAGACCAGUGGCGAAGGCGGAUCUCUGGACAGCUCCUGACGCUGAGGCGCGAAGGCUAGGGGAGCAAACGGG